UGUGAGUCGGACGGGUCCCUGCGAUUUGGCGGGCCUUGAGCCUGACAGACUAGGACAGCGUUGGUUCGCCGCGUCCAGGGGUUGGAUUGGAUUGGAGUUGCGUGAAGGAAUCAGCUGCUGCCUGCAGGCUGCAAAGGAAGAAGACGACGAUGUGCACGUUCCAGUGCUGUGCUGCUGGCACCGACGCGCCUCCAUUUGACGCUACCCCCCUCCCCUUGGAGCUGUUAACCGCCAGAGGAUGCUAUCUUGGACGGUGAAUGGUGAUUGUUCCAGAACCGUAGAAGACAAAGUGCCCGGUGGUUGGUGCUUCUGCCCACACAUGGCAGCUAUCCGAUCAGCUGCAGCAGCUAGGGACCAGUGUUUGCUGGCGCGAGCCCACGAUAGGAUAUCUUGAGAAGGAUCUGGAGGCCACACCCCGGACCGUGGAGCAACAAGGGACCGAGCUGAGGGAGGUGUCCGAGGCGGUGGCAGACCUCUUCUAGGACCUCGACGUGGUGGGCGUGCCUCGGGGUGGACCCCUCGGCCUCGUAUGCAAGCCCUGAGUGACUUCGUACGGGGUGAGCUCCGCGAGGCCGUCCACCUCGGGGUGAAGCGGGCCCUGGCCAUGGUCGCCUCACACUACGAGAUCGACCUCGAGUGGAUGUGCGACGACUACGUGCUCCCCGAUGAGCCCGACCUGGCUGCUACUGAGGCGUAGAGGUUGAUCGAUGCUGUCGAUGGGCCGGAGACUUUGCUGGCUCGUCACUCCGAGGUCGAGGUGUUGCCUCCUCCCCCGUCGCCAACCGCUGCGGAGUCUCCUGUGGGACCUCCUCCGACAGCAUGAACAUGGCCCCAUCCCUGUGGGAAUUUUUAAAUUUUUGUAAUGUAUGCUAAGGAUUUGGUGGAUACUAAGUAUUUAAAAUUUUAUC